AAAUUGAAGAGUUUGAUCAUGGCUCAGAUUGAACGCUGGCGGCAGGCCUAACACAUGCAAGUCGAGCGGUAGCACAGAGAGCUUGCUCUCGGGUGACGAGCGGCGGACGGGUGAGUAAUGUCUGGGAAACUGCCUGAUGGAGGGGGAUAACUACUGGAAACGGUAGCUAAUACCGCAUAAUGUCGCAAGACCAAAGUGGGGGACCUUCGGGCCUCAUGCCAUCAGAUGUGCCCAGAUGGGAUUAGCUAGUAGGUGGGGUAACGGCUCACCUAGGCGACGAUCCCUAGCUGGUCUGAGAGGAUGACCAGCCACACUGGAACUGAGACACGGUCCAGACUCCUACGGGAGGCAGCAGUGGGGAAUAUUGCACAAUGGGCGCAAGCCUGAUGCAGCCAUGCCGCGUGUGUGAAGAAGGCCUUCGGGUUGUAAAGCACUUUCAGCGGGGAGGAAGGCGAUAAGGUUAAUAACCUUGUUGAUUGACGUUACCCGCAGAAGAAGCACCGGCUAACUCCGUGCCAGCAGCCGCGGUAAUACGGAGGGUGCAAGCGUUAAUCGGAAUUACUGGGCGUAAAGCGCACGCAGGCGGUCUGUCAAGUCGGAUGUGAAAUCCCCGGGCUCAACCUGGGAACUGCAUUCGAAACUGGCAGGCUAGAGUCUUGUAGAGGGGGGUAGAAUUCCAGGUGUAGCGGUGAAAUGCGUAGAGAUCUGGAGGAAUACCGGUGGCGAAGGCGGCCCCCUGGACAAAGACUGACGCUCAGGUGCGAAAGCGUGGGGAGCAAACAGGAUUAGAUACCCUGGUAGUCCACGCCGUAAACGAUGUCGAUUUGGAGGUUGUGCCCUUGAGGCGUGGCUUCCGGAGCUAACGCGUUAAAUCGACCGCCUGGGGAGUACGGCCGCAAGGUUAAAACUCAAAUGAAUUGACGGGGGCCCGCACAAGCGGUGGAGCAUGUGGUUUAAUUCGAUGCAACGCGAAGAACCUUACCUGGUCUUGACAUCCACAGAACUUAGCAGAGAUGCUUUGGUGCCUUCGGGAACUGUGAGACAGGUGCUGCAUGGCUGUCGUCAGCUCGUGUUGUGAAAUGUUGGGUUAAGUCCCGCAACGAGCGCAACCCUUAUCCUUUGUUGCCAGCGGUUAGGCCGGGAACUCAAAGGAGACUGCCAGUGAUAAACUGGAGGAAGGUGGGGAUGACGUCAAGUCAUCAUGGCCCUUACGACCAGGGCUACACACGUGCUACAAUGGCAUAUACAAAGAGAAGCGACCUCGCGAGAGCAAGCGGACCUCAUAAAGUAUGUCGUAGUCCGGAUUGGAGUCUGCAACUCGACUCCAUGAAGUCGGAAUCGCUAGUAAUCGUAGAUCAGAAUGCUACGGUGAAUACGUUCCCGGGCCUUGUACACACCGCCCGUCACACCAUGGGAGUGGGUUGCAAAAGAAGUAGGUAGCUUAACCUUCGGGAGGGCGCUUACCACUUUGUGAUUCAUGACUGGGGUGAAGUCGUAACAAGGUAACCGUAGGGGAACCUGCGGUUGGAUCACCUCCUUA
rnacentral:rRNA from 1 species